rnacentral:rRNA from 1 species
AAAGAAACCAACAGGGAUUGCCCUAGUAACGGCGAGUGAAGCGGCAACAGCUCAAAUUUGAAAUCUGGCCCUCGGGUCCGAGUUGUAAUUUGUAGAGGAUGCUUUUGGUGAGGUGCCUUCCGAGUUCCCUGGAACGGGACGCCAUAGAGGGUGAGAGCCCCGUCUGGUUGGAUACCGAUCCUCUGUAAAGCUCCUUCGACGAGUCGAGUAGUUUGGGAAUGCUGCUCUAAAUGGGAGGUAUAUGUCUUCUAAAGCUAAAUAUUGGCCAGAGACCGAUAGCGCACAAGUAGAGUGAUCGAAAGAUGAAAAGCACUUUGAAAAGAGAGUUAAAAAGUACGUGAAAUUGUUGAAAGGGAAGCGCUUAUGACCAGACUUGGACUUGGUUGAUCAUCCUGGGUUCUCCCUGGUGCACUCUUCCAGUUCAGGCCAGCAUCAGUUCGCUGCGGGGGAUAAAAGCUUUGGGAAUGUGGCUCCCUCGGGAGUGUUAUAGCCCAUUGCAUAAUACCCUGCUCCGGACUGAGGUUCGCGCAUCUGCAAGGAUGCUGGCGUAAUGGUCAUCAGCGACCCGUCUUGAAACACGGACCAAGGAGUCGUCUUCGUAUGCGAGUGUUCGGGUGUUAAACCCCUACGCGUAAUGAAAGUGAACGCAGGUGAGAGCUUCGGCGCAUCAUCGACCGAUCCUGAUGUUCUCGGAUGGAUUUGAGUAAGAGCAUACGGGGCCGGACCCGAAAGAAGGUGAACUAUGCCUGUAUAGGGUGAAGCCAGAGGAAACUCUGGUGGAGGCUCGCAGCGGUUCUGACGUGCAAAUCGAUCGUCAAAUAUGGGCAUGGGGCGAAAGACUAAUCGAUCUUUCUAGUAGCUGGUUUCCGCCGAAGUUUCCCUCAGGA